rnacentral:rRNA from 1 species
CCAAUAGCGUAUAUUAAAGUUGUUGCAGUUAAAAAGCUCGUAGUUGAAUUUCGGGGUUAGUAGGUUGGUCAUGCCUCCGGUAUGUACUGGUCUCACUGAUUCCUCCUUCCUGAUGAGCCGUAAUGCCAUUACUUUGGUGUUGCGGGGAAUUUGGACUGUUACUUUGAAAAAAUUAGAGUGUUUAAAGCAAGCUAACGCUUGAAUACAUUAGCAUGGAUUAAUGAAAUAGGACGUUCGAUCCUAUUUUGUUGGUUUCUAGGAUUGACGUAAUGAUUAAUAGGGAUAGUUGGGGGCAUUAGUAUUCAAUUGUCAGAGGUGAAAUUCUUGGAUUUAUUGAAGACUAACUACUGCGAAAGCAUUUGCCAAGGAUGUUUUCAUUAAUCAAGAACGAAAGUUAGGGGAUCGAAGACGAUCAGAUACCGUCGUAGUCUUAACCAUAAACUAUGCCGACUAGGGAUCGGAUGAUGUUAAUUUUUUAAUGACUCAUUCGGCGCCUUACG